rnacentral:misc_RNA from 1 species
GUAGAGAUAGGGGAUUAUCUAGAAAGGUGUAUUGUGGCGAUUCAAAAAUUGUCCGACCCUGAUUUGGAAUUUCUUUGGAAACUUAGAUGGAUGAAUAACAUUUCUGAAAUUGAUUUGCUUCAAGUUUCAUCGAAAUUUGGCUGAAAAAGCCCAAAGAAAUGUGAGGCUACUAAAUUCACAAUGGUGUUAGCAUUUGUGGCGCAUAUGUGACAUUUGGUGAAAACCACGUGAAAACAAUAGUACGUUACGGACAUUUGCACGUUUCUGGGCUGCAGGCUGUGUUUGACGUGUUUGGGCAUGGUGUGAGCUAUCAUGGCCUUCGUUAGUGUUGCAGCCAUAGGUGAUUUUUUUCAAACUAUGUCCAGUGUGAUUGAGAAGGGUGAAAGAGCAUUGGAUGGUGGCAAAAUCCGAUCCAUUGCCCUGCAGGAUGGCAAAUACAUUGUGGCUUCUGUUGAGGCCAGCAUGAAGAAAAGGACCUAUGAUGUUCAAGUCACUGUCGAGAACAAGAAGCCAGUGGAUGGAAGCUGCACAUGCCCAAAUGGUCAGCAUCGGUGCUCCCACAUGGCUGCCAUCCUUCUGUAUGCACAGAAGAACUGGUCGCAGACUGAUCGGCAGUGUCAAUGGAACCGAGGAUCCAGCAACGCGACAAUGUUGAAAGCAAAGGAGAUGUUCCCCCAGGAAGACAGUUCUUUGCUGGUGAGCUCUGUCAAAGAGGACCAACUGGCAUGGCUGUAUGACCAGGUGAGGGAGCAGCCAUGUGGGCUGGCAUGGCUGUUGGCUCCAGAGUCUCAGCCUUCCCCAGAAGAGAAGGUACCAAACAUCGACAGCAUCCUAACUAGUGCUGAGUUUCAUGCAUCAGCUGACAAGUCCCACUUCCUUUUAGCAAUGCUGUCUCUUUCAAAGGAAGAGAUUGCAGAGGUGCAGAGGGUGACCAGUGGUCAGGUCAAAAACCCCAAGUGGUUUGUUGCUAGAAAGGGAAGGCUGACAUCGAGCAACUUCGGCCUCGUCUUGAAGGCAAUUGCCAGAGGAAGAUACCCAAAGUCACUAUUCAAAAGGCUCCUUGGUGGCUAUGACCCAUCCGGCAGUGCAGCUGUAAAAUGGGGACGAACCCACGAAGCAGCUGCAAAGCGAGCGUAUGAAAAUCGCACUGGAAAAAAGGUGGAAGAGAAUGGGAUUUUUCUCUCUGAAGAUGGUAUGCUUGGGGCCUCUCCAGAUGGUGUAGUGGGGGAUACACUCCUAGAGGUGAAGUGUCCGUGGACACACAGGUGUCGAACGAUCCAGGAAGCCGUGCAAGCAGAUGGAAAGUUUUUCUUGGACGAAAACCUGAAUCUUAAAGAAGAUCACGAUUACUUCCACCAGGUACAGGGCCAGAUGUGGUUAAGUGGCUUCACCAAGUGUGACUUUGUUGUCUGGACGACUCGUGACUUACACAUCGUUACCAUCGCCAGAAGCGAUUCAUGGACUGUAAACCUAGAACUCCUAAAACAGUUCUAUAGGGUCCACAUGGUGCCGAGCAUCAUCGGGUCCGCUUAACCCGCAGGGCUCAUGCCUGCUGGGCGAUAUGAGAUUUGCCACUGUGAUGUAAUGUGUGUCACUGUACAGGUGCGCGCCAGGCUGGUUGUCGUGUUUCACUUUCAAACGUCAAACUGUGUGUAAAUAAUGCAAAUAAUAAACAUACAUGUUUGUG